rnacentral:sRNA from 1 species
AUUCUGCCCAUGCGGGGAAGGAUGAGAAGCUUCGACUAAGGUUCGACUUGAGCGCCAGCGAGAGAGCGUUGCCGCAGGCAACGACCCGAAGGGCGAAGCGCGCAGCGCUGAGUA